CUAUACGGUGAAACUGCGAAUGGCUCAUUAAAUCAGUUGUCGUUUAUUUGAUAGUACCUUACUACUUGGAUAACCGUGGUAAUUCUAGAGCCAAUACUUGCUAAACACCCCGACUUCGGAAGGGGUGUAUUUAUUAGAUAAAAAACCAAUGCCCUUCGGGGCUCCUUGGUGAUUCAUAAUAACUUAACGAAUCGCAUAGCCUUGUGCUGGCGAUGGUUCAUUCAAAUUUCUGCCCUAUCAACUUUCGAUUGUAUGGUAUUGGCUUACAAUGGUUUCAACGGGUAACGGGGAAUUAGGGUUCUAUUCCGGAGAGGGAGCCUGAGAAACGGCUACCACAUCCAAGGAAGGCAGCAGGCGCGCAAAUUACCCAAUCCCGACACGGGGAGGUAGUGACAAUAAAUACUGAUACAGGGCUCUUUUGGGUCUUGUAAUUGGAAUGAGUACAAUUUAAAUCCCUUAACGAGGAACAAUUGGAGGGCAAGUCUGGUGCCAGCAGCCGCGGUAAUUCCAGCUCCAAUAGCGUAUAUUAAAGUUGUUGCAGUUAAAAAGCUCGUAGUUGAACCUUGGGUUUGGUUGGUCGGUCCGCCUCACCGCGUGCACUGAUCCGACCGAAUCUUUCCUUCUGGGGAACCGUAUGCUCUUCACUGGGUGUACUGGGGAACCAGGACUUUUACUUUGAAAAAAUUAGAGUGUUCAAAGCAGGCCUAUGCUCGAAUACAUUAGCAUGGAAUAAUAGAAUAGGACGUGUGGUUCUAUUUUGUUGGUUUCUAGGACCGCCGUAAUGAUUAAUAGGGAUAGUCGGGGGCAUCAGUAUUCAAUUGUCAGAGGUGAAAUUCUUGGAUUUAUUGAAGACUAACUACUGCGAAAGCAUUUGCCAAGGAUGUUUUCAUUAAUCAGUGAACGAAAGUUAGGGGAUCGAAGACGAUCAGAUACCGUCGUAGUCUUAACCAUAAACUAUGCCGACUAGGGAUCGGGCGGUGUUAUCUUUUUGACCCGCUCGGCACCUUACGAGAAAUCA
rnacentral:rRNA from 1 species